GUGACUGCGUACCUUUUGUAUAAUGGGUCAGCGACUUAUAUUCUGUAGCAAGGUUAACCGAAUAGGGGAGCCGAAGGGAAACCGAGUCUUAACUGGGCGUUAAGUUGCAGGGUAUAGACCCGAAACCCGGUGAUCUAGCCAUGGGCAGGUUGAAGGUUGGGUAACACUAACUGGAGGACCGAACCGACUAAUGUUGAAAAAUUAGCGGAUGACUUGUGGCUGGGGGUGAAAGGCCAAUCAAACCGGGAGAUAGCUGGUUCUCCCCGAAAGCUAUUUAGGUAGCGCCUCGUGAAUUCAUCUCCGGGGGUAGAGCACUGUUUCGGCAAGGGGGUCAUCCCGACUUACCAACCCGAUGCAAACUGCGAAUACCGGAGAAUGUUAUCACGGGAGACACACGGCGGGUGCUAACGUCCGUCGUGAAGAGGGAAACAACCCAGACCGCCAGCUAAGGUCCCAAAGUCAUGGUUAAGUGGGAAACGAUGUGGGAAGGCCCAGACAGCCAGGAUGUUGGCUUAGAAGCAGCCAUCAUUUAAAGAAAGCGUAAUAGCUCACUGGUCGAGUCGGCCUGCGCGGAAGAUGUAACGGGGCUAAACCAUGCACCGAAGCUGCGGCAGCGACACU
rnacentral:rRNA from 1 species